AUUCCAUUGCAGGGGGAGACAAGUGAUGAACAAAUAGAUAAGAUUAAUUUAGGCAGAAUGAUGUUUUGGAGGAAGUUAAAGGAUGAGAUAAUAACAGGAUGAUAGCAAAGGGGUGGAAUCUAGACCAGCCAGAUGGUUGGGGGUGGGGGAGCUCUCGAUAGAAGCCGUGUUUGAACUAAGAUGCGGAGGAAGGGGAGGAAGAGCCAGGUGUGUGAAUGUCAGAUGAAACAGUGUCCUGGGUGCAGCGACAGCACGUGCAAAGGUCCCGGGGUGAACUGAGCCUGGCGUGUGGAGGAACAGAAAGGCCUGCAUGGCCGGAGCUCUGUGAGUGACAAGAAGGGAGGAGCUGGGGCUGAAGAAGUAGGCAGGGGCCUGGCAGGUCACGUGGGGAGGAGUUUGGGUUUAUUCCGAGGGUGGCAGGAAGCCACCAGGAAGGACUGAAGCAGGAGGUUAACGAGAUUUUUGGGAGCCACAGCCUUACCUCUCCUCAGCCCUGGCAGGAGUGGUGGGACAUGCCUGUAGUCCCAGCUACUCUAGAGGCCGAGGUGGGAGGAUCGCCUGAGCCUGGGAGGUCGAGGCUGCCGUGAGCUGUGGUGGUGCCAUCCUCCCUUUGCAGAGCAGGCCUUGAAUACCAAGCCCUUGGCACAGAGCCAACAAGCAUGAAUGGUGCCCGGUAUUCCUGCAGUUGUUGCUUAGAAAGAACCGGAGCUUUGAAGGCAGGCUGAUUUCAGCGCCAACCUCUUCCUGGCUGUGUGGCCUUGAGGGCUGCAUCUGCCUUGUAUGUCUCCAUAGCCCCAGGGGCUGGCACGGCAUCUGGCAUAUAGUAGGUGCUUACUACAUGUUUGUUGAAUGAAUGAAUAAAUGAAUGAAUGGAUGGAUGGAUGUUAGUGGUAACUAAAUGCAGCUGAGUUAAACUGAGCCCAAGGAGAGAGAGGACCAAAUGCCUGCUGCAGUGGACACUGGUAUGUGCCCAGGUCCCCCCUCUAGACAGAUGCAGUCACUCCCCAGCUGCUGGGAGAGCUGGUUGCUGAUGGUUAGUGCCCAGGUGAGUCCCUCGCUAGGCAUGGCACCCUAGACCCACCACCCCACGGGACAGCACACCUUCAAUGACUGUUGAAUAUGGAGGACAAAAGCCCGGCCCCCUUUUCCCCAGGCAGGACAGCUCUACAGUACUAUUCCAGGUCCAGAACUUUCCCCAGGGAUAACUGAGGCCUUUGUUGUGACUGCAUCGCAGCUCAACUCCUCGGCCUGGUCCUGCUGACCUCACUCCCACGCAGGUGCUGCCUCCAAGAGCACUCCUCAAUAAACCUGCUCACUCAUCUGUGGGUUCCUUGGGAACCUGACCUGUUACCCUUCUCAAGCCAUAACCGUGUCAUUCAUUCUUUCAUUCAUUCAAUAAAUAUGUACUGAACAGCUAUGCCUCAGGCAUUGUUUUGGGAUCCAGCAGCAACCCCAAACAGACCAGGACUGUUUGUGUAGGGAUAUUGGCUAUCGAGUUUUUAGAUUUCACCAAGACUGAAUCUCAUCAUCUCCAGCCCCACCAUGGCCAUGCCACCCCUGGGUGGCCUGGCUGCUUCAGCUCCCUAGACGAGCCCUUAGAAGGUGUGGACAGGUGUGGGGACAGGAAGGGAACAGACCCAGGAGCCCCGGUCUGUGGAGUCAGGCAGAUCCAGUCUCGAAUUCAGCUGAGUACUUUUUUGCAUUUCCCUAGUGACUAAUGAUACUGAGCAUCCUUUCCUGCGCUCACUGGC